UACGUAGGGUGCGAGCGUUAAUCGGAAUUACUGGGCGUAAAGCGUGCGCAGGCGGUUUUGCAAGUCGGAUGUGAAAUCCCCGGGCUCAACCUGGGAAUGGCAUUCGGGACUGCAAGGCUGGAGUGCGGCAGAGGGGACUGGAAUUCCUGGUGUAGCAGUGAAAUGCGUAGAUAUCAGGAGGAAUACCGAUGGCGAAGGCAGGUCUCUGGGCUGACACUGACGCUCAUGCACGAAAGCGUGGGGAGCAAACAGG
rnacentral:rRNA from 1 species